rnacentral:rRNA from 1 species
GAUGAACGCUGGCGGCGUGCUUAACACAUGCAAGUCGAACGAGCAACUUCGGUUGCGAGUGGCGGACGGGUGAGUAACGCGUGGGUAACCUACCUUAUACAGGGGGAUAACAGCGGGAAACUGCUGUUAAUACCGCAUAAGCGCACGGAAUCGCAUGAUUCAGUGUGAAAAGCUCCGACGGUAUAAGAUGGACCCGCGUCUGAUUAGCUAGUUGGUGAGGUAACGGCCCACCAAGGCGACGAUCAGUAGCCGACUUGAGAGAGUGACCGGCCACAUUGGGACUGAGACACGGCCCAAACUCC